UUGUGAAGUGAAGCAUCUGUUUCUGCAACAGGGACAAAACGAGCAGCGUGUCCUUUUUAGUCCGAGUUGCCAGUUUCAUGUUUCAGCUCCGCCUUCGCAUUCCGGGCCUGCCCCGGCUUCUCUCCCAAGUUUUCGAAGAUGGAGCCUCUCACAACUACUUACCCUCUGAAAUAUUCAGUGCCCAAAGCCAGGGUCUUUGUUGUUUUUCUGUCUAUGGUUUUAUGUACUGCAGUUCUCUGCAUACUGCAACUCAGAUUUUUUAAACCUAAAACCAAAGACUUUUAUUCUUUCGAAGUCAAGGAUUCACGAGGAAGGAUCGUUUCACUGGAGAAGUACAGAGGGAAAGCAACUUUGGUUGUAAACGUGGCGAGUUACUGCCAGAACACAGACAAAAACUACAUCGCCCUGCAAGAGCUACACAGGGAGUUUGGUCCCUCCCACUUCACUGUGCUGGCCUUUCCCUGCAACCAGUUCGGAGAAUCAGAGCCUAGCUCAAGCCAGGAAAUAGAGGCUUUUGCCAAAGGAAACUAUGGAGUAACUUUCCCUGUUUUCCACAAAAUCAAGAUCCUGGGAUCAGAAGCAGAACCCGCGUUUAAAUUUCUAAUAGAUUCUUCAAAGAAGGAGCCUCGGUGGAAUUUCUGGAAGUACUUGGUCAGUCCUGAGGGUAAAGUUGUGAAAUUCUGGAGACCUGAAGAGCCCGUAGAAAGUAUCAAGCCAGAAGUAGCAUCAUUAAUCAGGCAAAUCAUCAUGAAGAAAAGAGAAGACCUUUGAAAAAGCCAUUCACUCUGUGAAUCCAUUCAACAGCAUGGUUGUACAGCCUUACUACAUUCCUGAGAAAUGCUGCUAGAAGUUAAACCAUCAGGUGCACCACCUCCCUUACUGGAAAUCAGAUUCAACAUAAACAGUGAUGGACUGGCCCUGCAGCUGGUGACAGUGCAGAAGUGACUGCUACAUUCAAAUACAGCAGCCACCUAACAGCACACUGCCUACAAGCCACAGAAUUUGUGCAGAGUGAGAUUUCUCCUUAAAUGCAUGUGCUUGGAGACAUUUACCUGAAUUCAGCAUUGUUAACCUCUUCCAAGUUUCAUGUUUAAUAUACAUAUAAAUACUCACAUAUGUAUGUUCAAGCAGUAAAUACUUGCAUGAAAUGGAUGACACAUAUAAGUUUAAGAUUUGAAUUAAAGCAAUUUUACAAAACCCACUUGGAAUCUGAGAAGUAUCAGACUCCAGACUAUCAAAAAGGAAUUGGAAAUUGUUGCAAACAGUUUCGUGCCUUGCCUUGUACCAGCACCAGUGUAGUAUGUUAUCUCCACAAGUUAAUUAGUAUCGUACACACUUACUUCAGUCCUUUUCUUCCUUGAGCAUCCAUAUUGGUCAUUGUGUGCGCCCAGGCCUGGGACUAGAUGAGUCAGGAAUAUAACUCAGUAUAGUUAAUUUUCUUAUUUUGAAAUACAAAUCAUUACUGUUUAGUUCAUAGCACAAAUUGACUUCAGGUGAUGAGGCACACUGUACCUCCUUUACAGAAAGAUGCGUAAGGAAUCUAAGAUUCAAGCUCAUGGAUUUAGGCUGGAUGGAGGUGAAAUUUUACCUACAACAUCUAUUUUGAAAAAAAGCCCUUUGAAGUCAUGCUGAAGGCAAUCACUGAGUUAAAUGUUUUGGAUCAAAGUAAAUUAAUACCAAAUAUUAAUACCAAAUUUGAAGACUUCCCUUUGUUCUUAAAAGCAAAGCUUAGGUCACUGAAAAUAAAUCUCACCAAUCCUGAACUCACAAUACAAAACAAAAC